GUCUGUCACCUGAGUUCUUGUUCUGAAACAAAAUUCAACUAAUGUCAUCCAAUCGACAAAGGGAAAGCAAAAUUUUAAUCACUUCCAUCCCAACUCUAUUGAGUUUCAAUACUCAUGCCCUAUGCCAGAUAAAAUAAGACAACCUUUCACCCCAAAUGUUUAACAUUAGUUCUUGAAGGCUUGCCCAAACCUUGCAUUGAAGCUAAUACAGUUCGCAUUGAAAAAGCACACUUCUCAUAAGGACAUUUUUGUUUUUCUAUGGUUGUACAUUUUCCAUAAGAACUUAUAAUACUAUUAUGUG
rnacentral:misc_RNA from 1 species